CGAUCCGUGGCUACGAGGACGACGCUGGCGGCGUGCUUAACACAUGCAAGUCGAACGGUAAGGCCCUUCGGGGUACACGAGUGGCGAACGGGUGAGUAACGCGUGAGUAACCUGCCCUUCACUCUGGGAUAACAGUUGGAAACGGCUGCUAAUACCGGAUAUUCAGCUCCUGUCGCAUGGUGGGGGUUGGAAAGUUUUGGUGGUGGAGGAUGGGCUCGCGUCCUAUCAGCUUGUUGGUGGGGUGAUGGCCUACCAAGGCGUCGACGGGUAGCCGGCCUGAGAGGGCGACCGGCCACAUUGGGGACUGAGAUACGGCCCAAACUCCUACGGGAGGCAGCAGUGGGGAAUAUUGCACAAUGGGCGGAAGCCUGAUGCAGCAACGCCGCGUGCGGGAUGACGGCCUUCGGGUUGUAAACCGCUUUCAGCAGGGACGAAGCGUGAGUGACGGUACCUGCAGAAGAAGCACCGGCUAACUACGUG
rnacentral:rRNA from 1 species